rnacentral:lncRNA from 1 species
GUGAAGUUUUUGGAAUUUUUCAUAAAUCGCUUGAUCAACGAUUUAUGAAAAAUUCUUCCGCUACGGUAGAGUUAUGUUACGUUUAAUUUGUUUUGCUUAGAUAGUAUGCUUUGAAAGCCUAAUUAGUUGUUAAGCAAACGAUGAAAAACACAACAUUUAAAUUGCAUUGCUCCGUCAAACUCGGUUCGAGAAACCCCGCAAAGCCUUGCUAUGCCACCACAUUCAGCCGACGUACAUUGCAAUCAUUCAAUGACGAUCAUUAACCGGCCAGCAGAGUCAGUGAACACGAUCACGCUGGGAGAAACUGGGGAGAUAAUCGGUAUCAGUACACAUACUCGAACAGCCAUCACCUCAACCAGAGGCAGCUACCACACUAGGAGAUCAUACCGUGGACAAGUGAGAAGCGUCGCCACCACCACAUGAGAGCACGAGAGAAAGAAUGGAGCGAAAGAUCCGUCGGCAUCAUCAUGCUGGAGAAGUUAAGUUCAACACGGCACGCACACCAUUAAAGCUCGCCGGCAGAACAAGUGAACGAUCGCAAAGGAGUGGAGUUUAAUUGUCUUCCAUCUGUAAGCCAAACCGCGUGUGCCGUUCAGUCGGCGGUGAGAAUUUCCAUUUCGGAAUUGAACAAAGUGCGUUCGUUAGAAAACCCCUCGAAGACGGCCCACUGGAUUAGCUGAUCUUAUUCUCGACCGGUGAGCAGGUGUAACACCCGGAAACCAGCGCAAGAAAUCGAUUGGCCAGAGGGAAGAACAACAGGCCAAAAGAAGCUAAAUCCGCGUGUGCUUUCCAAGAAGGAGGGAUUCGUCGAAAAACCAGACCGUCUGGAUUGUCGGCCGCCAUUGCCGAAAAUCAUUCCCGAUUGGAAAUAGAUGACUGUCCACGCACGGACUCUGGAUUAAACACGCUAGGUGGAGACAAUCGUGUGAAGAGCAGGAGAAAGUCGAGAAUCAUCACCGGCCAAGCCGAAAGCCAACUCGAUCGCCAGAACCAUCCCGACAGAAGCGACUUAGACCGGAUCACGUCGCAGAGCAGAGAGCCCCUCUAGAAGGGUAAGAUUCGCGCUAGCUGAUCUGCAGAGAAUUUUGCUGACGUUUCGUCGCCUGCAGGGCUCUUUUCUUUCUUGCAGUUUUGCGCACUCAACGUGCCUAGAGGACGAGACAGGUCGCAGGGUCGCGGCGUCGUAAAUCGAACAUUCCGUUCGCAAUAUCACCCACCCCACACACGAAGAGCAGUCGCGCCAAGCAAGGCGCGCAGCAAAGAGGAUUUCCGUAGCGGAGUUGCCACGACAUUCAGGCGAGACGCGUAAUACGGAGGUUUGCUGUACCGGAGGAGUUUUGAUCGGGGGUGUGCCUAUCGAAAGGUGGGGGAUAUGUUGGCUAGGAAGGCGGCAGCUGUGCAGCAUCAACAGGACCGGUGCAAGGCUUCCCUGGAAGACUAUCCGGUGGCGUGAGAGCAUGCAGAAUCAGUGAGUCCUAGAGUUUAAGAGCAAUGCAUAUUAGCUUUUAAGAAUCCUAGUGCAGGACAGCGUAGGAGGUCUCAGGACCGAGAAUAGGAGGCCAGGACAGGCAAAAUGUUGAAUAUACGCAUUUAAAAUGAA